CAGACGAGGUAGUAAUAAGUAGGUAACGUACCCCCGAGUCAAGCAUAGCUAGCCGAAAGGUUAGGUAAUUCUUGAUGGUCUCCGACCCGAAAGGUGUUGGAGUAAAGGAGCAAUCUGCUUGGGGAACGGCCUGCUCGAUAUCAGCUAGUUGGUAGGGUAAUGGCCUACCAAGGCAAUGACGUCUAGGGGAGCUGAGAGGCUGACCCCCACCGAUGGAACUGAGAGACGGUCCAUACACCUACGGGUGGCCGCAGUCGAGAAUCUUCCGCAAUGGGCGAAAGCCUGACGGAGCGACGCCGCGUGCAGGAUGAAGUGCUUCGGUAUGUAAACUGCUUUUAGGGAUGAAGAAGUUUAUUGACAUUAGUCCCUGAAUAAGAGGUUGCUAAACUCGUGAACUGUUUGAUUAAGCUCAAACA
rnacentral:autocatalytically_spliced_intron from 1 species